CUUGACAAACUUAUAAGAGGUCCAGCCUGCCCAGUGACUCUGUUUAACGGCCGCGGUAUCCUAACCGUGCGAAGGUAGCGUAAUCACUUGUUCUUUAAAUGAGGACUAGUAUGAAUGGCACCACGAAGGUUAUACUGUCUCCUUUUUCUAAUCAGUGAAACUAAUCUUCCCGUGAAGAAGCGGGAAUAAAAAUAUAAGACGAGAAGACCCUAUGGAGCUUUAAACAAAUAUACACCUGCCUUCCAAUUAAAAAAUUUCAGUAGACAAAUAAUUACCCAGGCAUUUUGAUAUAGCGUUUUAGGUUGGGGUGACCGCGGAGCAAAAAACAACCUCCGCAACGAACGGGAAAUCUUUCCCUAAACCAAGGGCCACGACCCCAAGUAUCGAUAAAUCGACACUAAUUGACCCAAUAAAUUUGAUCAAUGAAC
rnacentral:rRNA from 1 species